UUGGAGGUAAAAGAAGGUGAAACUAUGAAAGCAUAUAGUUUUCACUGAUACCCACCUCCUACAGUGAAAGUGGUAGUGUGAACCAUCUGACUUCCAGAAAUAGGUUUUGAGUGCUCUGUACCUACCCACAAUA
ensembl:scaRNA